rnacentral:rRNA from 1 species
UACAGAGGUCUCAAGCGUUGUUCGGAUUCAUUGGGCGUAAAGGGUGCGUAGGCGGCGCGGUAAGUCGGGUGUGAAAUCGUCGGAGCUUAACUCCGAAACUGCAUUCGAUACUGCCGUGCUUGAGGACUGGAGAGGAGACUGGAAUUUACGGUGUAGCGGUGAAAUGCGUAGAUAUCGUAAGGAAGACCAGUGGCGAAGGA